ensembl:rRNA 5S_rRNA 5S ribosomal RNA
GUCUACGGCCAUACCACCCUGAACGCGCCCGAACUUGUCUGAUCUUAGAAGCUAAGCAGGGUCGGGCCUGGUUAGUACUUGGAUGGGAGACCUCCUGGGAAUACUGGGUGCUGUAGGCU